rnacentral:rRNA from 1 species
ACAACUUUUAACGGUGGAUCUCUAGGCUCGUGCAUCGAUGAAGAACGCAGCGAAAUGCGAUACGUAGUGUGAAUUGCAGAUCUUCGUGAAUCAUCGAAUCUUUGAACGCA